rnacentral:rRNA from 1 species
UACGAAGGGGGGCUAGCGUUGCUCGGAAUUACUGGGCGUAAAGGGAGCGUAGGCGGACAGUUUAGUCAGAGGUGAAAGCCCAGGGCUCAACCCUGGAAUUGCCUUUGAUACUGAUUGUCUUGAGUAUGGGAGAGGUGUGUGGAACUCCGAGUGUAGAGGUGAAAUUCGUAGAUAUUCGGAAGAACACCAGUGGCGAAGGCGACACACUGGCCCAUUACUGACGC